AGUGAACGCUGGCGGCAGGCCUAACACAUGCAAGUCGAACGGCAGCACAGGGGAGCUUGCUCCCUGGGUGGCGAGUGGCGGACGGGUGAGGAAUACAUCGGAAUCUACCCUGUCGUGGGGGAUAACGUAGGGAAACUUACGCUAAUACCGCAUACGACCUCCGGGUGAAAGCAGGGGAUCGCAAGACCUUGCGCGAUUGGAUGAGCCGAUGUCCGAUUAGCUAGUUGGCGGGGUAAAGGCCCACCAAGGCGACGAUCGGUAGCUGGUCUGAGAGGAUGAUCAGCCACACUGGAACUGAGAAACGGUCCAGACUCCUACGGGAGGCAGCAGUGGGGAAUAUUGGACAAAGGGCGAAAGCCUGAUCCAGCCAUGCCGCGUGGGUGAAGAAGGCCUUCGGGUUGUAAAGCCCUUUUGUUGGGAAAGAAAACUUUCCGGUUAAUACCCGGAGAGAAUGACGGUACCCAAAGAAUAAGCACCGGCUAACUUCGUG
rnacentral:rRNA from 1 species